GAAGGGAAACCGGAACGAGCCUUCGGGCAGCGUAGACAGGUGCUGCAUGGCUGUCGUCAGCUCGUGUCGUGAGAUGUUGGGUUAAGUCCCGCAACGAGCGCAACCCGUGUUGCUAGUUACAAGUGUCUAGCGAGACUGCCGGUAACAAGCCGGAGGAAGGUGCGGAUGAUGUCAAGUCAGCAUGGCCUAUAUGUCCAGGGCUACACACACGCUACAAUGGCUGGUACAAAGAGAAGCGAAAGGGAGACCUGAAGCGAAUCUCAUCAAAGCCGGUCAUAGUUCAGAUUGCAGGCUGCAACUCGCCUGCAUGAAGUCGGAGUUGCUAGUAACCGCAGGUCAGCAAUACUGCGGUGAAUACGUUCCCGGGCCUUGUACACAC
rnacentral:rRNA from 1 species